rnacentral:lncRNA from 1 species
GAAGUAUUUUUCGUUUGAAAAAUAAAUUGAUAUAAUUUUUUGUUAUAAAAAAUAAAAGGAGGUAUAGAAAAAUAAUUUGUGGUAUUUCUCCAUAAAAAAUAAGUUGAGGUUCUUUUUUAAAAUAAAAAAACAAUUGGGGAAAGAAAAAAUAACUCGAGGUACUUUUCACUAAAGAAAUAAAUUGAGGUACUUUUUGAAAAUUAGAAUGAACAGAGGUAUUUUUCGUUUGAAAAAUAAAUCGAUGAAUGAUUUAGAAAUAAAAAAUAAAAUGAGGAAAAAAAUAAUAAUUUGAGAUACUUUUGGG